AUUGAACGCUGGCGGCAGGCCUAACACAUGCAAGUCGAACGAGUGGCGGACGGGUGAGUAAUGUCUGGGACACUGCCCGAUGGAGGGGGAUAACUACUGGAAACGGUAGCUAAUACCGCAUACCAUCGGAUGUGCCCAGAUGGGAUUGUCUAGUAGGUGGGGUAACGGCUCACCUGGGCGACGAUCCCUAGCUGGUCUGAGGGGAUGACCAGCCAGACGGAAAUGGGAACACGGUCCGAAUUCCUACGGGGGGCAGCAGUGGGGAAUAUUGGACAAUGGGGGAAGGCUUGCUGCAGCCAGGCCGCGUGUAUGAAGAGGGCGUUCGGUUUGUAAAGUACUUUCAGCGAGGAGGCGUUACUCGCAAAAGAGGCACCGGCUAACUCCGUGCAAGCAGCCGCGGUAAUAC
rnacentral:rRNA from 1 species